UCCCGUGUGGUCUAGUGGUUAGGAUUUGUGGCUCUCACCCACACGGCCCGGGUUCGAUUCCCGGCACGGGAA
rfam:Trichuris muris Edinburgh genomic scaffold, scaffold157